rnacentral:rRNA from 1 species
UGGGGAAUAUUGCACAAUGGGGGAAACCCUGAUGCAGCGACGCCGCGUGAACGAAGAAGGUAUUCGUAUCGUAAAGUUCUGUCCUAUGGGAAGAUAAUGACAGUACCAUAGAAGAAAGCUCCGGCUAAAUACGUGCCAGCAGCCGCGGUAAUACGUAUGGAGCGAGCGUUGUCCGGAAUUAUUGGGCGUAAAGGGUACGCAGGCGGUUUAAUAAGUCGAAUGUUAAAGAUCGGGGCUCAACCCCGCAAAGCACUGGAAACUGAUAAACUUGAGUAGUGGAGAGGAAAGUGGAAUUCCUGGUGUAGUGGUGAAAUACGUAGAUAUUAGGAGGAAUACCAGUAGCGAAGGCGACUUUCUGGACACAAACUGACGCUGAGGUACGAAAGCGUGGGGAGCAAACAGG